AAGCAACAGCUUGUAUUGCAGGAGGGCAUGUAUAGACAUAGGCCCAGAAGGGAAUUGUAUUAGACUGGCAGCAGCUCAGUGCAGGCGACAGGUUGUUACUGAAAGUGCGCGGCGAUAAGGAGAGCUUGCUUCGUGGUGGAGAAAAGGUCAUGACGCUUGGGAAUCCACCCUGAAAACAUACAAUGUCUUGGCAAGGUGGUUCGGCCACUUGCGUCAUUUCUUCCUGCAAUUGUUCAGCAGGUCAACGCGCAGACACAGCUGGCAGGAAGAGAGAUGCUGAACCCACCAUAAAGCUAGCCAAUCAGAUUGCUCCUAUGCAGAAAGCGGCAGCCAUCCUUGGCCAGUCUCUGGACCAUCUCCAGUCUGGACAGGUCCUCCUUGUCAUGCAGGAUGCACUUGUUCCCGUGCUGCAGCCCAGGGGACACAGAGAACAUGUAUCUGAGGCCACAGUCCCACGACAUUGCCGACUGAUUACUGGCUGCUGGCUUUCCACCAGGAACAACAGCAGAAGUCCUGAACAUGGGCUUACACAACUCGUAAAAAAUGCCUAACAGAGGUGAGCAGCUCAAGAAUGAGUGUAGGCUAUAUGUGCGAGUUGUGAGUUUCUGUCAUCGCAGCCUGAGUAGAUUCCAGUUGCUGUACACCUCAGUCAAUUCUACAGGCACAUCAGCUGAACUCCAGGUAUCGCUCUGUGUGGUUGGCUGUACUGAGAGUGAAUGACAGAG
ensembl:lncRNA